AGGACGAACGCUGGCGGCGUGCUUAACACAUGCAAGUCGAGCGGAAAGGCCCUUCGGGGUACUCGAGCGGCGAACGGGUGAGUAACACGUGAGCAACCUGCCCUUAGCUUCGGGAUAGCUCCGGGAAACCGGAAUUAAUACCGAAUAUGACUGCGGCUGACAUCAGCCACGGUGGAAAGUUUUUCGGCCAGGGAUGGGCUCGCGGCCUAUCAGCUUGUUGGGGGGUAACGCCCACCAAGGCGACGACGGGUA
rnacentral:rRNA from 1 species